GUUGUUACUGAAUUUGUUCUCUGCAUCUGAUAGUAAAAGAGAAUUAAAGUGUCAAAUAUUCAAAAACAAAUCAAAAUUUUCAAUGUCUGUUGUCUGUGAUUUUUUUUUUAUCAAAUGCUGUGUCUGGUUGUCUAAGGUUGUUACUGAAUUUGUUCUCUGCAUCUGAUAGUAAAAGAGAAUUAAAGUGUCAAAUAUUCAAAAACAAAUCAAAAUUUUCAAUGUCUGUUGUCUGUGAUUUUUUUUAUCAAAUGCUGUGUCUGGUUGUCUAAGGUUGUCACUGGUUUUGUUCUCUACAUCUGAUAGUAAAAAAACAUUAAAGUGUCAAAUAUUAAAAAAAAAAUCAAAAUUUUCAACGUCUGUUGUCUGUGGUUUUUUCAUCAUAUGCUGUGUCUGGUUGUCUAAGGUUGUUACUGAAUUUGUUCUCUGCAUCUGAUAGUAAAAGAGAAUUAAAAUGUCAAAUAUUCAAAAACAUAUCAAAAUUUUCAAUGUCUGUUGUCUGUGAUUUUUUUUAUCAAAUGCUGUGGCUGGUUGUCUAAGGUUGUCACUGGUUUUGUUCUCUACAUCUGAUAGUGAAAAAAACAUUUAAAGUGUCAAAUAUUCAAAAAUAAAUCAAAAUUUUCAACGUCUGUUGUCUGUGGUUUUUUCAUCAAAUGCUGUGUCUGGUUGUCUAUGAUUGUCACCGGUUUUGUUCUCUGCAUCUGAUUAUCAAAAAUAAUUAAAGUGUCAAAUAUUUAUUUAAAAAAUAAACGAAACUAUCAACGUCUGUUGUCUGUGAUUUUUUUUUCAUCAAUUGCUGUGUCUGGUUGUCUAAGGUUGUCACUGGUUUUAUUUUCUACAUCUGAUAGUAUAAAAGAAUUGAAGUGUCAAAUAUUUUAAAAAAAUCAAAAUUUUCAACGUCUGUUGUCUGUGAUUUUUUCAUCAAAUGCUGUGUCUGGUUGUCUAAGGUUGUUACUGAAUUUGUUCUCUGCAUCUGAUAGUAAAAGAGAAUUAAAGUGUCAAAUAUUCAAAAACAAAUCAAAAUUUUCAAUGUCUGUUGUCUGUGAUUUUUUUUUUAUCAAAUGCUGUGUCUGGUUGUCUAAGGUUGUCACUGGUUUUGUUCUCUACAACUGAUAGUAAAAAAAACAUUUAAAGUGUCAAAUAUUCAAAAACAAAUCAAAAUUUUCAAUGUCUGUUGUCUGUGAUUUUUUUUUAUCAAAUGCUGUGUCUGGUUGUCUAAGGUUGUCACUGGUUUUGUUCUCUACAUCUGAUAGUAAAAAAAACAUUUAAAGUGUCAAAUAUUCAAAAAUAAAUCAAAAUUUUCAACGUCUGUUGUCUGUGGUUUUUUCAUCAAAUGCUGUGUCUGGUUGUCUAAGGUUGUUACUGAGUUUGUUCUCUGCAUCUGAUAGUAAAAAAAUAUAUUUUUUGGGAGAAUUUCCCUGCGUGCUGCGUCUGGUUGGCUAGUCACCGGACAGACAAACAGGGCUAUUAUUUAUAUAUAUAAAUAUAAAUA